CCUACGGGAGGCAGCAGUGAGGAAUAUUGGUCAAUGGACGAGAGUCUGAACCAGCCAAGUAGCGUGAAGGAUGACGGCCCUAUGGGUUGUAAACUUCUUUUACAAAGGAAUAAAACGAGGCACGUGUGCCUGUUUGCAUGUACUUUAUGAAUAAGGAACGGCCAACUCCGUGCCAGCAGCCGCGGUAAUACGGAGGAUCCGAGCGUUAUCCGGAUUUAUUGGGUUUAAAGGGAGCGUAGAUGGGUUGUUAAGUCAGUUGUGAAAGUUUGCGGCUCAACCGUAAAAUUGCAAUUGAUACUGGCAGUCUUGAGUACAGUUGAGGUAGGCGGAAUGCGUGGUGUAGCGGUGAAAUGCUUAGAUAUCACGAAGAACCCCGAUUGCGAAGGCAGCUUACUAAACUGUGACUGACAUUGAUGCUCGAAAGUGUGGGUAUCAAACAGGAUUAGAUACCCGAGUAGUC
rnacentral:rRNA from 1 species